rnacentral:rRNA from 1 species
CAAACGACUCUCGGCAACGGAUAUCUCGGCUCACGCAUCGAUGAAGAACGUAGCAAAAUGCGAUACUUGGUGUGAAUUGCAGAAUCCCGUGAACCAUCGAGUUUUUGAACGCAAGUUGCGCCCGAAGCCUUUCGGCCGAGGGCACGCCUGCCUGGGCGUCACAC